AUUCCUACGGGACGCAGCAGUGGGGGAUAUUGCACAAUGGGGGGAACCCUGAUGCAGCGACGCCGCGUGAGUGAAGAAGUAAUUCGUUAUGUAAAGCUCUAUCAGCAGGGAAGAAUAAAUGACGGUACCUGAGUAAGAAGCCCCGGCUAACUACGUGCCAGCAGCCGCGGUAAUACGUAGGGGGCAAGCGUUAUCCGGAUUUAUUGGGUUUAAAGGGUGCGCAGGCGGAAUGUCAAGUCAGCGGUAAAAUUUCGGGGCUCAACCCCGUCGUGCCGUUGAAACUGGCGUUCUUGAGUGAGCGAGAG
rnacentral:rRNA from 1 species